rnacentral:rRNA from 1 species
GGUUAAGCGACUAAGCGUACACGGUGGAUGCCCUGGCAGUCAGAGGCGAUGAAGGACGUGCUAAUCUGCGAAAAGCGUCGGUAAGGUGAUAUGAACCGUUAUAGCCGGCGAUGUCCGAAUGGGGAAACCCAGUGUGAUUCGUCACACUAUCGUUAACUGAAUACAUAGGUUAACGAGGCGAACCGGGGGAACUGAAACAUCUAAGUACCCCGAGGAAAAGAAAUCAACCGAGAUUCCCCCAGUAGCGGCGAGCGAACGGGGAGCAGCCCAGAGUCUGAAUCAGCUUGUGUGUUAGUGGAACGGUCUGGAAAGUCCGACGGUACAGGGUGAUAGUCCCGUACACCAAAAUGCACAGGUUGUGAACUCGAAGAGUAGGGCGGGACACGUGGUAUCCUGUCUGAAUAUGGGGGGACCAUCCUCCAAGGCUAAAUACUCCUGACUGACCGAUAGUGAACCAGUACCGUGAGGGAAAGGCGAAAAGAACCCCGGCGAGGGGAGUGAAAAAGAACCUGAAACCGUGUACGUACAAGCAGUGGGAGCACCUUCGGGUGUGACUGCGUACCUUUUGUAUAAUGGGUCAGCGACUUAUAUUCUGUAGCAAGGUUAACCGUAUAGGGGAGCCGCAGGGAAACCGAGUCUUAACUGGGCGUUAAGUUGCAGGGUAUAGACCCGAAACCCGGUGAUCUAGCCAUGGGCAGGUUGAAGGUUGGGUAACACUAACUGGAGGACCGAACCGACUAAUGUUGAAAAAUUAGCGGAUGACUUGUGGCUGGGGGUGAAAGGCCAAUCAAACCGGGAGAUAGCUGGUUCUCCCCGAAAGCUAUUUAGGUAGCGCCUCGUGAACUCAUCUUCGGGGGUAGAGCACUGUUUCGGCUAGGGGGUCAUCCCGACUUACCAACCCGAUGCAAACUACGAAUACCGAAGAAUGUUAUCACGGGAGACACACGGCGGGUGCUAACGUCCGUCGUGAAGAGGGAAACAACCCAGACCGCCAGCUAAGGUCCCAAAGUCAUGGUUAAGUGGGAAACGAUGUGGGAAGGCACAGAUAGCCAGGAUGUUGGCUUAGAAGCAGCCAUCAUUUAAAGAAAGCGUAAUAGCUCACUGGUCGAGUCGGCCUGCGCGGAAGAUGUAACGGGGCUAAACCAUGCACCGAAGCUGCGGCAGCGACACUAUGUGUUGUUGGGUAGGGGAGCGUUCUGUAAGCCUGCGAAGGUGGCCUGUGAGGGUUGCUGGAGGUAUCAGAAGUGCGAAUGCUGACAUAAGUAACGAUAAAGCGGGUGAAAAGCCCGCUCGCCGGAAGACCAAGGGUUCCUGUCCAACGUUAAUCGGGGCAGGGUGAGUCGACCCCUAAGGCGAGGCCGAAAGGCGUAGUCGAUGGGAAACAGGUUAAUAUUCCUGUACUUGGUGUUACUGCGAAGGGGGGACGGAGAAGGCUAUGUUAGCCGGGCGACGGUUGUCCCGGUUUAAGCAUGUAGGCUGGUUGUCCAGGCAAAUCCGGAUAAUCAAGGCUGAGGUGUGAUGACGAGGCACUACGGUGCUGAAGUAACAAAUGCCCUGCUUCCAGGAAAAGCCUCUAAGCAUCAGGUAACAUCAAAUCGUACCCCAAACCGACACAGGUGGUCAGGUAGAGAAUACCAAGGCGCUUGAGAGAACUCGGGUGAAGGAACUAGGCAAAAUGGUGCCGUAACUUCGGGAGAAGGCACGCUGGUGUGUAGGUGAAGCCCCUGCGGGUGGAGCUGAGACCAGUCGAAGAUACCAGCUGGCUGCAACUGUUUAUUAAAAACACAGCACUGUGCAAACACGAAAGUGGACGUAUACGGUGUGACGCCUGCCCGGUGCCGGAAGGUUAAUUGAUGGGGUUAUCCGUAAGGAGAAGCUCUUGAUCGAAGCCCCGGUAAACGGCGGCCGUAACUAUAACGGUCCUAAGGUAGCGAAAUUCCUUGUCGGGUAAGUUCCGACCUGCACGAAUGGCGUAAUGAUGGCCAGGCUGUCUCCACCCGAGACUCAGUGAAAUUGAACUCGCUGUGAAGAUGCAGUGUACCCGCGGCAAGACGGAAAGACCCCGUGAACCUUUACUAUAGCUUGACACUGAACAUUGAGCCUUGAUGUGUAGGAUAGGUGGGAGGCUUUGAAGCGUGGACGCCAGUCUGCGUGGAGCCAACCUUGAAAUACCACCCUUUAAUGUUUGAUGUUCUAACGUUGGCCCCUGACCGGGGUUGCGGACAGUGUCUGGUGGGUAGUUUGACUGGGGCGGUCUCCUCCCAAAGCGUAACGGAGGAGCACGAAGGUUAGCUAAUCCUGGUCGGACAUCAGGAGGUUAGUGCAAUGGCAUAAGCUAGCUUGACUGCGAGCGUGACGGCGCGAGCAGGUGCGAAAGCAGGUCAUAGUGAUCCGGUGGUUCUGAAUGGAAGGGCCAUCGCUCAACGGAUAAAAGGUACUCCGGGGAUAACAGGCUGAUACCGCCCAAGAGUUCAUAUCGACGGCGGUGUUUGGCACCUCGAUGUCGGCUCAUCACAUCCUGGGGCUGAAGUAGGUCCCAAGGGUAUGGCUGUUCGCCAUUUAAAGUGGUACGCGAGCUGGGUUUAGAACGUCGUGAGACAGUUCGGUCCCUAUCUGCCGUGGGCGCUGGAGAAUUGAGGGGGGCUGCUCCUAGUACGAGAGGACCGGAGUGGACGCAUCACUGGUGUUCGGGUUGUCAUGCCAAUGGCACUGCCCGGUAGCUAAAUGCGGAAGAGAUAAGUGCUGAAAGCAUCUAAGCACGAAACUUGCCCCGAGAUGAGUUCUCCCUGAGACUUUAAGUCUCCUGAAGGAACGUUAAAGACGAUGACGUUGAUAGGCCGGGUGUGUAAGCGCAGCGAUGCGUUGAGCUAACCGGUACUAAUGAACCGUGAGGCUUAACCUU